AGAGUUUGAUCCUGGCUACAGGACGAACGCUGGCGGCGUGCUUAACACAUGCAAGUCGAACGAGAGUUACUUUGAAUGAGUUUUCGGACGAAUGAAAGGUAAUGAAAGUGGCGAACGGGUGAGUAACACGUGAGCAACCUGCCUUACACAGGGGGAUAGCCAUUGGAAACGGUGAUUAAUACCCCAUAAGACCACAAUACCGCAUGGUAAAAGGGUAAAAGGGAUACCGGUGUAAGAUGGGCUCGCGUCUGAUUAGCUAGUUGGUGGGGUAAAGGCCUACCAAGGCGACGAUCAGUAGCCGGUCUGAGAGGAUGAACGGCCACAUUGGAACUGAGACACGGUCCAAACUCCUACGGGAGGCAGCAGUGGGGAAUAUUGCACAAUGGGGGAAACCCUGAUGCAGCGACGCCGCGUGAGCGAAGAAGGCUUUCGAGUCGUAAAGCUCUGUCCUAUGAGAAGAUAAUGACGGUAUCAUAGGAGGAAGCCCUGGCUAAAUACGUG
rnacentral:rRNA from 1 species